CCUUCCGUAGGGUGAACCUGCGGAAGGAUCAUUACCGAGUGCGGGUCCUUUGGGCCCAACCUCCCAUCCGUGUCUAUUGUACCCUGUUGCUUCGGCGGGCCCGCCGCUUGUCGGCCGCCGGGGGGGCGCCUCUGCCCCCCGGGCCCGUGCCCGCCGGAGACCCCAACACGAACACUGUCUGAAAGCGUGCAGUCUGAGUUGAUUGAAUGCAAUCAGUUAAAACUUUCAACAAUGGAUCUCUUGGUUCCGGCAUCGAUGAAGAACGCAGCGAAAUGCGAUAACUAAUGUGAAUUGCAGAAUUCAGUGAAUCAUCGAGUCUUUGAACGCACAUUGCGCCCCCUGGUAUUCCGGGGGGCAUGCCUGUCCGAGCGUCAUUGCUGCCCUCAAGCCCGGCUUGUGUGUUGGGUCGCCGUCCCCCUCUCCGGGGGGACGGGCCCGAAAGGCAGCGGCGGCACCGCGUCCGAUCCUCGAGCGUAUGGGGCUUUGUCACAUGCUCUGUAGGAUUGGCCGGCGCCUGCCGACGUUUUCCCAAACCCCAAAUU
rnacentral:rRNA from 1 species